rnacentral:piRNA from 1 species
UGUGCACUGAGUUCUACAGAUGGG